rnacentral:rRNA from 1 species
GGGCCCGCACAAGCGGCGGAGCAUGCGGAUUAAUUCGAUGCAACGCGAAGAACCUUACCUGGGUUCGACAUAUGCCGGAAAGCUCUAGAGAUAGAGCCCCUUUUAGUCGGUAUACGGGUGGUGCAUGGCUGUCGUCAGCUCGUGUCGUGAGAUGUUGGGUUAAGUCCCGCAACGAGCGCAACCCUCGUUCUAUGUUGCCAGCAUGCCCUUCGGGGUGAUGGGGACUCAUAGGAGACUGCCGGGGUCAACUCGGAGGAAGGUGGGGAUGACGUCAAGUCAUCAUGCCCCUUAUGUCCAGGGCUUCACGCAUGCUACAAUGGCCGGUACAAAGGGCUGCGAUGCUGCAAGGCGGAGCGAAUCCCAAAAAGCCGGUCUCAGUUCGGAUUGGGGUCUGCAACUCGACCCCAUGAAGUCGGAGUCGCUAGUAAUCGCAGA